rnacentral:tRNA from 1 species
GCCUGGGUGGCUCAGUCGGUUGAGCGUCCGACUUCAGCUCAGGUCAUGAUCUCGCGGUCUGUGGGUUCGAGCCCCGUGUCAGGCU